UCUCCAGGUGUGCAGCCUGGGACUCUGGAGUGGGGAGGGCGCCGGCACCCUUUUGAGGGGUGGGGGGAAACCGUGUUUCCACGGCUAACAGUUUGGGAACUUCUGCAAGAGGCAAGGUCUGACUGGGCGUUGCCAGCGCGUCUGUGGGCCCCCAGCUUUCGGGUUGCUGCCUAAUGGUGUCCCCAGGAAAACUUCCAACCUCAGCAGCUGCCGCUCCGCCAGGCUGCAGGAGGGAGCCAUGCACAGGAGCCGCCCAGGAGCUGAUCUCACUGCUCUCCCUGUUGUCGUGCCAUGCCUGAAGAUGAAUGUGCUGCACAUCGGCCCUUUCCAAGCCACAAUCUCACAUAUGGCAUAGGAUUCCACUGAGUAUAAGGAGGUUCCACACAUGAAAUGAAUAGCAAGUCUGCCACAUGACGAGUGCCUCUGCAGGACACUGAAGCAAACAGAAAGAUCUGAGAUCCUGUCCAUAUGUCCUAAUGGCAUUUCAGG